rnacentral:rRNA from 1 species
AUUGAACGCUGGCGGCAUGCCUUACACAUGCAAGUCGAACGGCAGCACGGGUGCUUGCACCUGGUGGCGAGUGGCGAACGGGUGAGUAAUACAUCGGAACGUACCUUAUCGUGGGGGAUAACGCAGCGAAAGCUGUGCUAAUACCGCAUACGCCCUGAGGGGGAAAGCGGGGGAUCGAAAGACCUCGCGCGAUUAGAGCGGCCGAUGCCUGAUUAGCUUGUUGGUGGGGUAAAAGCCCACCAAGGCGACGAUCAGUAGCUGGUCUGAGAGGACGAUCGCCCACACUGGGACUGAGACACGGCCCAGACUCCUACGGGAGGCAGCAGUGGGGAAUUUUGGACAAUGGGGGCAACCCUGAUCCAGCAAUGCCGCGUGAGUGAAGAAGGCCUUCGGGUUGUAAAGCUCUUUUGUCAGGGAAGAAACACCGGCUCUAACACAGUCCGGGAAUGACGGUACCUGAAGAAUAAGCACCGGCUAACUACGUGCCAGCCGCCGCGGUAA